CCUACGGGUGGCUGCAGUGGGGAAUCUUGCGCAAUGGGGGAAACCCUGACGCAGCGACGCCGCGUGGAGGAUGAAGGUCUUCGGGUUGUAAACUCCUUUUCUCAGGAAAAAUAAUGAUGGUACCUGAGGAAUAAGCCACGGCUAACUCUGUGCCAGCAGCCGCGGUAAGACAGAGGUGGCGAGCGUUGUUCGGAAUUACUGGGCUUAAAGGGCGCGUAGGCGGUAGGGCAAGUCUGAGGUGGAAUCCUAUGGCUUAACCAUAGAAUUGCCUUGGAAACUGCUUUACUUGAGUCAGUGAGGGGAGGGCGGAAUUCCUGGUGUAGCGGUGAAAUGCGUAGAUAUCAGGAGGAAGGCCAGUGGCGAAGGCGGCCCUCUGGCACUGCACUGACGCUGAGGCGCGAAAGCGUGGGGAGCAAACAGGAUUAGAUACCCCAGUAGUC
rnacentral:rRNA from 1 species